AGUGAACGCUGGCGGUAGGCCUAACACAUGCAAGUCGAACGGCAGCACAGUAAGAGCUUGCUCUUACGGGUGGCGAGUGGCGGACGGGUGAGGAAUACAUCGGAAUCUACUUUUUCGUGGGGGAUAACGUAGGGAAACUUACGCUAAUACCGCAUACGACCUACGGGUGAAAGCAGGGGAUCUUCGGACCUUGCGCGAUUGAAUGAGCCGAUGUCGGAUUAGCUAGUUGGCGGGGUAAAGGCCCACCAAGGCGACGAUCCGUAGCUGGUCUGAGAGGAUGGUCAGCCACACUGGAACUGAGACACGGUCCAGACUCCUACGGGAGGCAGCAGUGGGGAAUAUUGGACAAUGGGCGCAAGCCUGAUCCAGCCAUACCGCGUGGGUGAAGAAGGCCUUCGGGUUGUAAAGCCCUUUUGUUGGGAAAGAAAAGCAGCAGGUUAAGACCCCGCUGUUCUGGCGGUACCCAAAGAAUAAGCACCGGCUAACUUCGUG
rnacentral:rRNA from 1 species